rnacentral:lncRNA from 1 species
GUUUCUAAUAUCUCAUGGAGAGUAAAGAAUAUGAAAUGCCAACUCACACUAAGCCUGAUUAUCACUUAGUAUAUAUUGAAAGUAUUUUUGCCACAAGUCUGGUAGUUGAUGAAAUGAAAAUGAGGUGUUUUUAUAAAAAAUUAACACAAAGCAGAAACAAUUGGUUCUGUUGGCCUUUGGCAUGGCAUCAGCUUCCCAGCUUCCAUGUUUAUUCCUAUAUAUUAUACAUUCUUCACUCAGCAGUUAAAAUAAUUUUGAGUAAAUAGAUGUUAUUCCUCUGCUUAGAAUCUUAAUUGCUUCCCAUUUUUCAGAGGAUAAAAUCCAAACUUCGACAUUUUUGUGUGUGCUUGCUAAAAUGCCAAGCUCUUUCUUGUCUCAGGUCUUUUGUAGCUUCUGUCCUGUAGUUCAUUUCCCCAGAUAGUUCGGAUAGUUGGUUUCUUAUCCUCUGGACCAGCAUCUCCUGUUUAUUUACUCCGUGGCUAUGAUUUUUAAAAAAACUUACUAUUAUAGCUGAUUUACAAUGUUCUGUCAAUUUCUGCUGUACGGUAAAGUGACCCAGUCAUACAUAUACAUACAUUCUUUUUCUUAGAUUAUCCUCCAUCCUGUUCCAUCACAAGUGACUAGGUAAAGUGCCCUGUGCCAUAUAGCAGGAUCUCAUUGCUUAUCCACUAGAAAUGCUACAUUUUGCAUCUAUUACCCCCAGACUCCCAGUCCAUCACAUUCCCUCCCCCUCUUCCUCCCUCCCCCUUGGCAACCAUAAGUGCUUCAUGUCCCUGAGUUUCUUUUCUGCAGGUAGGUUCAUUGGGGCUGAAAGUAGAUCCCAGAUGUGAGUGAUAUCAUACGAUAUUUGUCUUUCUUUUUCUGACUCAUUUAUUACGAGAGUCUCUAGUUGCAUCCGUGUUGCUGCAAGUGGCAUUAUUUUGUUCCUUUUAUGGCUGAGUAGCAUCCCAUUGUGUAUACUACCACAUUUUCUUAACCCAUUCAUCUGUCAGUGGACGUUUAGGUUGUUUCCAUGCCUUGGCUAUUGUGAAUAGUACUGCAGUGAAUAUAGGCGUGCAUGGAUCUAUCUCAAGGAAAGUUUUGUCCAGACAUGUGCCCAGGAGUGGGAUUGCUAGAUCACAUGGUAGUUCUGUAUUUAGUUUUCUGAGGUACAUCCAUGCUGCUUUCCGUAGUACCAGUUUACAUUCCCACCAACAGUGCAGGAGGGUUCCCUUUUCUCCACACCCUCUCCAGCGCUUGUUACUCGUAGGCUUGCUGAGGAUGGCCAUUCUGAACAAUGUGAGGUGGUACCUCAUGAUAGUUUGGACUUGCAUUUCUCUAAUAAUUAGUGAUGUUGAGCGUUGUUUCCUGUCCUUGUAGGCCAUCUGUAUGUCUUCUUUGGAGAAAUGUCUGGUCAGGUCUCCUGCCCAUUUUUCAGUUGAGGUGUUUUGUUUUUCGCUGUUGUGUUGUAUGCGUUGGUAGCAUAUUUUGGAGCUGAGGACCUUGUCAGUUGCAUCAUUUGAAACUAUUUUCUCCCAUUCCUUAGGCUGUCUUUUUGUUUUAUUUAUGGUGUCUUGCUGUGCAAAAGCUUGUAGGUGUCAUUAGGUCCCAUUGGCUUAUUUUUGUUUGUAUUUCCGUUGCCUCGGGAGCCUGACCUAAGAAGACAUUGGUAUGAUUUACGUCAGAGAAUGUUUUGCCUCCAUUCUCUUCUGGGAGUUUUUGGUGACUUGUCCUAUGUUUAUAAGCCAUUUUGAGUUUAUUUUUGUGCGUGGUGUGAGGGUGUGGUCUGGCUUCAUUGAUUUACACACAGCUGUCCGGUUUUGCCAGCACCACUUGCUGAAGAGACUCCUUUUUUCCCAUUUUAUAUUCUUGCCUCCUUUGUUGAAGAGUCAUUGACCACGGGUGUCUGGGUUUAUUUCUGGGUGCUCUGUUCUGUCCCAUUGGUCUGUAUGUCUGUUUUUGUACCAGUACCACACUGUGUUGAUGACGGCAGCUUUGUCAUAGUGUCUGAAGUCUGGGAGAGUUAGGCCUUCUGCUUGGUUUUUGUUCCUCGGGAUUGCUUUGGCGAUUCUGGGUCUUUUGUGUAUGGUUCCAUAUAAAUUUCUGGAUUGUUUGUUCUAGUUCUGUGAAAAAUAUCGUGGGUAAUUUGAUAGGGAUUGCACUGAAUCUGUAGGUUGCUUUGGGGUAGUAUGACCGUUUUGACGACGUUAAUUCUUCCAACCCAGGAGCAUGGAGCAGCUUUCCGUUUCUUUGAAUCCUCUUUAACUUCCUUGAUAGAACGUUUUGUAGUUCUCAGCACCUAAGUCUUUCACCUCCUUGGUCAGGAUUAGUCCUAGGUGUUUAAUUUUGGGAGGUGCGAUUUUAGAAGGUAUUGUGUUCUUAUGUUCCUUUUCUAAUAUCAUUGGUAACACAGAAGUGCAACCGACUGCCGAAUGUUAAUCUUGUAUCCUGCCACGUUGCUGACUUCAUUGAUCAGUUCAGGUAGUUUUUGUGUGGAGUCCUUAGGGUUUUCUAUGUGUUGUAUCAUGUCAUCUGCAUGGAGUGACAACUUUACCUCGUCCCUUCCAGUUUUGGAUACCUUUCAUUUCUUCUGCUUGUCUGCUUGCUGUGGCUAGGACUUGCAAUACUAUGUUGAAUAAAAGUGGUGAGAGUCUUGUUCCAGGUUUUAGCGGGAAGGCUUUAAGCUUUUCUCCCUUGAGUGCUAUACUGGCUGUGAGUCUGUCCUAAAGGGCUUUGAUUAUGGUAAGGUAUGUUCCCUCUAUACCCACCUUAGUAAGAGUUUUUAUCACGAGUGGAUGCUGGAUUUUGUCAAAUGCUUUUUCUGCAUCUGUUGAGAUGAUCAUGUGGCUUUUUUGACUUUGCUUUUGUUGAUGUGGUGAAUGACCUUGAUUGAUUGCAUUUGUUAAACCAUCCCUGUGAACUUGAGAUGAAUCCCGCUUGGUUGUGGUGUAUCAUCUCUUUUAUAUGUUGUUGGAUUUGGUUGGCUGAGAUUUUGUUGAGAAUUUUUGUAUCUGUAUUCAUCAAAGAUAUUGGCCUAUACUUUUCUUUCUUGGUAGUAUCUUUGUCUGGUUUGGGUAUUAGAGUGAUGGUGGCUUCGUAGAAUGUCUUUGGGCGUGUUCCUUCCUCUUCACCGUUUUUGAAAAGUUUAAGAAGGAUGGGUAUAGUAAGUUCUUCUUUGUAUGUCGGGUAGAAUUUUGCGCAUGAAGCCAUCCGGUCCUGGACUUUUCUUUGUCGGGAGUGUUUUUAUGACAUCAUCAACUUCCUUUCUAGUGAUUGGUCUGUUCAGUUGAUCUAUUUCUUCUUCUUUUCUUUUUGUCUUUUGUCCUUUUAGGGCUGCACCUGUGGCAUUUGGGGGGUCUAAUUGGAGCUAUAGCUGCUGGCCUACAUCAGAGCCACAGCAAUGCCAGAUCCAAGCCGCGUCUGUGACCUACGCCACAGUUCACGUCAAUGUCAGAUCCUUAACCCACUGAAUGAGGCCAGGGAUUGAUCCCACAACCUCAUGUUCCUAGUCGGAUUCAUUUCCUCUGAGCCACGAUUAGAACUCCAAAUCUAUUUCUUCUUGAUUGAGUUUUGGUGAGCUGUCUGUCUCUCGAAAGUUGUCUGUAUCUUCUAGGUUGUCAAAUUUGUUGGCAUAUAAUUGUUCAUAGUAUUUUCUUAUGGUUUUUUGUACUUCUGCCAUAUCUGUUGAGGUUUCUCCUUUUCAUCUCUUAUUUUAAUUGUUUGAGUUCUUUCUCUCCUCUUCUUGGUGAGUCUGGCCAGAUGUUUGUCAAUUUUGUUUAUCCUUUCAAAGAACCAGCUCUUGGUUUUUCUAAUUGAUUUUUUUUUCUAUUGUUUUUUUGGGUCUCUAUUUUAUUGAUUUCCUCUCUGAUCUUUAUGAUUUCCUUCCUUCUGCUGACUUUACAUUUUAUUCUUCUUUUUCUAAAACUUCUAGGUGGGUAAAGUUGUCAAUUUGAUUUUAUUUCUUUUUUGUGCAAGGCCUGUAUUGCUAUGAACUUCUCUCUAAGCACUGCUUUUGUGGCAUCUCAUAGAUUUUGAAUCGUUGUGUUUACAGUAUCAUUUGUCUCCAGGUAUUUUUUAAUUCCUUGUUGACCCAGUCACUUGGUUAGUUAGUGCGUGUAGUCAGUUUUUUCUCAUUUCUUUUCCUGUGGUUGAUUUCUAGUUUCAUGCUAUUGUAGUCAGAGAAGUUACGUGAAAUAAUUUCUGUACUCUUAUAUUUGUUGGUGUUAGUUUUGUACCCCUGUAUAUGGUCAGUCCUUGAGAAUGUUCCAUGUGCACUUGAAAAAAAAUGUAUAUGCUGUUCUCUUGGAUGCUGUGUCCUGAAAAUGUUAAUUAGGUCUAACUUUUCUAUCGUAUCCUUUAGAAUCUCUGUUGCCUUAUUGAUUUUCUGUCUAGAGGAUCUGUCCAUUGACAUCAGUGGGGUUUUAAAGUCUCCUAUUAUUGUAUUCCUGUCAAUUUCUCCUUUUAUGUCUGUUAGUAUUUGUUUUAUGUAUUUGGGUGCUCCUAUAUUGGGGACAUAUAUAUUGACAUAAUAUUCUCUUCUUGAAUGGAUCCUUUUAUCAUUAAAUAGUGUCCUUCUUUUUCUUCAGGGCCUUUGUUUUUUUUUUGUUGUUGUUUUUUUGUUGUUUUUUUUUUUUGUCUUUUUUUUGUCUUUUUGUCCUUUGUUGUUGUUGUUGCUAUUUCUUGGGCCGCUCCUGCGGCAUAUGGAGUUUCCCAGGCUAGGGGUUGAAUCGGAGCUGUAGCCACCGGCCUACGCCAGAGCCACAGCAACGCGGGAUCCGAGCCGCGUCUGCAACCUACACCACAGCUCACAGCAACGCCGGAUCGUCAACCCACUGAGCAAGGGCAGGGACCGAACCCGCAACCUCAUGGUUCCUAGUCGGAUUCGUUAACCACUGCGCCACGACGGGAACUCCGGCCUUUGUUUUAAAUUCUGUUUUGUCUGAUAUGAGUAUUACAACUCCUGCUUUCUUGUCUUUUCCAUUCACAUGAAAUGUCUUUUUCUAUCCCCUCACUUUAAAUUUAUAUGUGUCCUUUGCCCUAAGGUCUCUUCCGGGCAGCAUAUAGUAGAGACUUGUUUUUUUAUCCAGUCUGCCACUCUGUGUCUUUCUAUUGGAGUAUUCAGUCCACUGGCGUUUAGGCUAAUAUUAAAAAAUAAUGUAUGUAUGGCCAUUUUAAACCUUGUUUUCAAGUUGACUCCAUGUUUCUCCUUUGUUCUUUUCUUUUUUUGGUUGAAUGAUUUCUUGUUAUGCUUGUGUCCUCUUCCUUUUAGUUUUUGUGAAGGUAUUGUUUGCUUUUGGUUUAUGGUUGCACUGUUUUUCAAGUAUGUUAACUCCUUCCUAUAUCUGCUUGCUUUAGCCUGAUAAUCAUAUAGGCUCAAAUAUACUCU